rnacentral:ncRNA from 2 species
GGAAGUUCUCGGGGCGGGGUGUGAUUCCCCACCGGCGGUAAAGGUGAAGACCUGGUUUUUCUCCUAGCCCGCGAGCGCCUUCACCUCGGUGGAGGGUCCAGCAGAUUCCGGUGAGAUCCCGGAGCCGACGGUUACAGUCCGGACGUGAGAGAACACCA